rnacentral:rRNA from 1 species
AACGAACGCUGGCGGCGUGCCUAACACAUGCAAGUCGAACGAGAAUUUUCCCUUCGGGGAAAUAGUAAAGUGGCGCAAGGGUGAGUAACACGUGAAUAAUCUGCCUACGAAUUUGGGAUAACGCGGCGAAAGCUGUGCUAAUACCGAAUAAGACCACAUCUCUUAUGGGUUGUGGCCAAAGGAGCCUCAAGCUCCGUUUGUAGAUGAGUUCGCGGACCAUUAGCUUGUUGGAGGGAUAACAGCCCCCCAACGGCGACGAUGGUUAGCCGGCCUGAGAGGGUGAUCGGCCACACUGGAACUGAGACACGGUCCAGACUCCUACGGGAGGCAGCAGUGGGGAAUAUUGCGCAAUGGGCGAAAGCCUGACGCAGCAAUGCCGCGUGUGUGAAG